rnacentral:rRNA from 1 species
ACGGGGCCCGCACAAGCGGUGGAGCAUAUGGUUUAAUUCGAAGCAACGCGAAGAACCUUACCAGGUCUUGACAUCCCCUGACAACCCGAGAGAUCGGGCGUUCCCCUUCGGGGGGACAGGGUGACAGGUGGUGCAUGGUUGUCGUCAGCUCGUGUCGUGAGAUGUUGGGUUAAGUCCCGCAACGAGCGCAACCCUCGACCUUAGUUGCCAGCAUUCAGUUGGGCACUCUAAGGUGACUGCCGGCUAAAAGUCGGAGGAAGUGGGGAUGACGUCAAAUCAUCAUGCCCCUUAUGACCUGGGCUACACACGUGCUACAAUGGGCGGUACAAAGGGUCGCGAACCCGCGAGGGGGAGCCAAUCCCAAAAAGCCGCUCUCAGUUCGGAUUGCAGGCUGCAACUCGCCUGCAUGAAGCCGGAAUCGCUAGUAAUCGCGGAUCAGCAUGCCGCGGUGAAUACGUUCCCGGGCCUU